AUUGAACGCUGGCGGCAGGCCUAACACAUGCAAGUCGAACGAGUGGCGGACGGGUGAGUAAUGUCUGGGAAACUGCCCGAUGGAGGGGGAUAACUACUGGAAACGGUAGCUAAUACCGCAUACCAUCGGAUGUGCCCAGAUGGGAUUAGCUAGUAGGUUGGGUAACGGCUCACCUAGGCGACGAUCCCUAGCUGGUCUGAGAGGAUGACCAGCAACACUGGAACUGAGACACGGUCCAGACACCUACGGGAGGCAGCAGUGGGAAAUAAUGCACAAUGGGCGCAAGCAUGAUGCAGCCAUGACGCGUGUAUGAAGAAGGCCUUCGGGUUGUAAAGUACUUGCAGCGAGGAGGCGUUACUCGCAGAAGAAGCACCGGCUAACUCCGUGCCAGCAGCGGCGGUAAUUC
rnacentral:rRNA from 1 species